rnacentral:lncRNA from 1 species
UUCCUUCCCCUCUUUAUUUAUUCAUCUAUUUUGAGACAUGAUUUCAUAUGGCCAAGUCUGACCUUGAACUCCUGAUCUUGCUGCCCCUACCUUCUAAGUGCUAAGAUUACAGACAUGUGCCACUAUGCGUGUUAGUUUGUUAGCACAUUGCUAGGUAUCAGAUUUUCAAAUGUCAGUAGGCAAACCCUUUACCAACUGAGCUGUAUCCCCACCCAGCCCAGACAGUCCUUUUUUUUUUUAAGACUUCUUUUUUUUUUUUUCUAAUUUCAAAUAUAGCUUAUGUUCAUUAUUGGAAAAUAUAGAAAGUGUUGGAUGUUAAAAGCUGGUCUGGGCAGACAGUUUAUUCUGGCCAGAUGCCUUCCAAGCAUGUCUUACAACCAGAGUUCCAUCUGGAUGGAGAGGGCCGACUCCUGAAAGUUGUCCUCUGAUCUCCGCACAUGUGCCAUGGGGGCUCACACCCUGCCAUAUGUCGUACACACCUGCAUGCUCACACGCAGUGGUUGGGGCUUAUUCUGUGUUUUUCAAUAGUGAGAGUCCAUGCCCUCCAUUAAGGUGCACUGAGGCAGAGAAUCUUUGCUGACUGUGCGCUUAUUGCUCCUCACUGAUCCUGGCCGUCUGCCUUACCACAAGAACUCAGACUUGGGGCUCUUUGUAUCCUGGUGCCCCGUGGUUCUCUCACCCUGUGUGACUUAGCUCUCAGUGUGGCAGCAGGCAGCCCUGUGAAGCACAGUAGGUUAGAACAGCAGACGCCGAUGUCUUCCUAAGCGUCCCCAAGGCAGGUAUUUGAUUGCAGCAGUGUUGGCCUCGGCUCCAUUAAGCUUCAGAACCAAGGCAGAAGAAAGGAUUUCCAUGGUAGAAGCUUAAAGCAAGAGGUUGGGGGGAUCGGAAGAAUCAGAGAGCAGUUAAGACUUACGUUGUCUCUGCCACAUUCACUAGUGUUAGCCAGUCAGUUUGCAUGAUUCAGGGUUGGGGAAGUAACUCCACACACAGACAGGAAAGGCACUUAAUUGGCUGCCAGUCUCCCUUAGUGGUACUUCCCACACUGUCCUUCUGCAGCUGAAACUUGGAGAGAAAAUUAUCAGGGAGUUCUGAGAAAGCUGAGGGACAGAUGGAGUUGUCCCCUGGGGUCGGUGGGUCUGUCACGUACUUCUGUGGCUGUCCAGAGCUGCAGUGUCUAGAUAGCAGUUUGUCCUUUCUGAGCCACCGGAGUCAGUAUAGGUGCUGUCCCACUGGAAACAGACACUUUGCCAUUUCCUUGUUACUUGUUAUUUUGUCUCUUAGCAAGCCUUGCUUCUUGGUUUGGUUUCUUCUUGCUAGGUUUCCCCUGUACUAUGAGCUGAAGAUUGCCUUCGUCAUUUGGCUGCUGUCGCCCUACACUAGAGGGGCGAGUUUAAUCUAUAGAAAGUUCCUUCAUCCCCUGCUGUCAUCAAAGGAAAGGGUAAGUGAGAUGUACGGGUUACUUCCCCACUGUCUUUAAGUAGUGUGUGUCAGCAUGCGUAACAUCCAGAGGCUUCUUAACGUUAUUCUAAAUAAAACUAACAGGGGGAAGUGGUGCACACCUCCGGAGGCAGAGGCAGGUAGAUCUCUGAGUUGGAGGAUAGCCUGGUCUACAUAUCCAAUACCAAGCUAGCCAGGACUACAUAGUAAGACCCUGUCUCAUAAAACCUGAAUAAACUAACAUCUAUUGGUGUGUUGUUGUUAUUCUUAGCCAGUUUUUGUUUUUAAGACAAGAUCUUGCCGGGGCCUAGCAAACACAGAAGUGGAUGCUCACAGUCAGCUAUUGGAUGGAUCACAGGGCCCCCAAUGGAGGAGCUAGAGAAAGUACCCAAGGAGCUAAAGGGAUCUGCAACCCUAUAGGUGGAACAACAAUAUGAACUAACCAGUACCCCGGAGCUCUUGACUCUAGCUGCAUAUGUAUCAAAAGAUGGCCUAGUCGGCCAUCACUGGAAAGAGAGGCCCAAUGGACUUGCAAACUUUAUAUGCCCCAGUACAGGGGAAUGCCAGGGCCAAAAAGUGGGAGUGGGUGGGUAGGGGAGUGGAGGGAGGGUAUGGGGGACUUUUGGGAUAGCAUUGGAAAUGUAAAUGAGGAAAAUACCUAAUAAAA